rnacentral:rRNA from 1 species
AACGAACGCUGGCGGCAGGCUUAACACAUGCAAGUCGAGCGCCCAGCAAUGGGAGCGGCGGACGGGUGAAUAACGCGUGGGAAUAUGCCCUUUGGUACGGAACAACUCAGGGAAACUUGAGCUAAUACCGUAUGAGCCGGUAACGGGAAAGAUUUAUCGCCAAAGGAUUAGCCCGCGUCCGAUUAGCUAGUUGGUGAGGUAAUGGCUCACCAAGGCACCGAUCGGUAGCUGGUCUGAGAGGACGACCAGCCACACUGGGACUGAGACACGGCCCAGACUCCUACGGGAGGCAGCAGUGGGGAAUCUUGGACAAUGGAGGAAACUCUGAUCCAGCCAUGCCGCGUGAGUGAUGAAGGCCCUAGGGUUGUAAAACUCUUUCGGCGGGGACGAUAAUGACGGUACCCGCAGAAGAAGCUCCGGCUAACUUCGUGCCAGCAGCCGCGGUGAUACGAAGGGGGCUAGCGUUGUUCGGAAUUACUGGGCGUAAAGCGCGCGCGGGCGGCCUUUCAAGUCAGGGGUGAAAGCCCGGAGCUCAACUCCGGAAUUGCCUUUGAAACUGCAAGGCUUGAGUACGGGAGAGGUGAGUGGAAUUCCCAGUGUAGAGGUGAAAUUCGUAGAUAUUGGGAAGAACACCGGUGGCGAAGGCGGCUCACUGGCCCGUAACUGACGCUCAGGCGCGACAGCGUGGGGAUCAAACAGGAUUAGAUACCCUGGUAGUCCACGCCGUAAACGAUGAACGCUAGCCGUUGGCAGGCUUGCUUGUCAGUGGCGCAGCUAACGCAUUAAGCGUUCCGCCUGGGGAGUACGGCCGCAAGGUUG